CGAAGGAUGCAAGCGUUAUCCGGAUUCAUUGGGUUUAAAGGGAGCGUAGGUGGUCUUAUAAGUCAGUGGUGAAAUCCCGUCGCUUAACGAUAGAAUUGCCAUUGAUACUGUAGGACUUGAGUACAGUUGCCGUUGGCGGAAUAUGACAUGUAGUGGUGAAAAUACAUAGAUAUGUCAUAGAACACCGAUUGCGAAGGCAGCUGACGAAACUGUAACUGACACUGAGGCUCGAAAGUGUGGGGAUCAAACAGGAUUAGAUACCCUGGUAGUCCACACUGUAAACGAUGAUUACUCGCUGCUGGAGGGCAACCUUCAGUGGCUUAGCAAAAGCGAUAAGUGAUCCACCUGGGGAGUACGCCGGCAACGGUG
rnacentral:rRNA from 1 species